rnacentral:rRNA from 1 species
AUUGAACGCUGGCGGCAUGCUUUACACAUGCAAGUCGAACGGCAGCACGGGCUUCGGCCUGGUGGCGAGUGGCGAACGGGUGAGUAAUGCAUCGGAACGUACCGUGUAAUGGGGGAUAACGUAGCGAAAGUUACGCUAAUACCGCAUAACGCCCCUGAGGGGGGAAAGCGGGGGAUCGUAAGACCUCGCGUUAUACGAGCGGCCGAUGUCGGAUUAGCUAGUUGGUGGGGUAAAGGCCUACCAAGGCGACGAUCCGUAGCGGGUCUGAGAGGAUGAUCCGCCACACUAGGGACUGAGACACGGCCCAGACUCCUACGGAGGCAGCAGUGGGAAUUUUGGACAAUGGGCGCAAGCCUGAUCCAGCCAUGCCGCGUGA